UACGUAGGGUGCAGGCGUCAAUCGGAAUUACUGGGCGUAAAGCGUGCGCAGGCGGUUUGCUAAGACAGGUGUGAAAUCCCCGGGCUUAACCUGGGAACUGCGCUUGUUACUGGCAGGCUUGAGUGUGGCAGAGGGGGGUGGAAUUCCACGUGUAGCAGUGAAAUGCGUAGAGAUGUGGAGGAACACCGAUGGCGAAGGCAGCCCCCUGGGCUAACACUGACGCUCAUGCACGAAAGCGUGGGGAGCAAACAGG
rnacentral:rRNA from 1 species